rnacentral:ncRNA from 1 species
CUAAAGGCUUUUUUUUAAGCCACCAACACUCAUUUUUAUUGUGUUU